rnacentral:tRNA from 1 species
GGGGAUAUAGCUCAGUUGAUAGAGCGCUUGCCUCGAAUGCACAAAGCCCUGGGUUCCAUCCCCAGCACCA